CUACGGGCGGCACCAGUGGGGAAUAUUGCACAAUGGGCGCAAGCCUGAUGCAGCCAUGCCGCGUGUAUGAAGAAGGCCUUCGGGUUGUAAAGUACUUUCAGCGGGGAGGAAGGGAGUAAAGUUAAUACCUUUGCUCAUUGACGUUACCCGCAGAAGAAGCACCGGCUAACUCCGUGCCGAGCAGCCGCGGUAAUACGGAGGGUGCAAGCGUUAACGGAAUUACUGGGCGUAAAGCGCACGCAGGCGGUUUGUUAAGUCAGAUGUGAAAUCCCCGGGCUCAACCGGGGAACUGCAUCUGAUACUGGCAAGCUUGAGUCUCGUAGAGGGGGGUAGAAUGCCAGGUGUAGCGGUGAAAUGCGUAGAGAUCUGGAGGAAUACCGGUGGCGAAGGCGGCCCCCUGGACGAAGACUGACGCUCAGGUGCGAAAGCGUGGGGAGCAAACAGGAUUAGAUACCCCGGUAGUC
rnacentral:rRNA from 1 species